GAUGAACGCUAGCGGGAGGCCUAACACAUGCAAGCCGAGCGGUAGAGUUCCUUCGGGAACUUGAGAGCGGCGUACGGGUGCGUAACACGUGUGCAACCUACCUUUAUCUGGGGGAUAGCCUUUCGAAAGGAAGAUUAAUACCCCAUAAUAUAAUGAUUGGCAUCAAUUAUUAUUGAAAACUCCGGUGGAUAGAGAUGGGCACGCGCAAGAUUAGAUAGUUGGUGAGGUAACGGCUCACCAAGUCAAUGAUCUUUAGGGGUCCUGAGAGGGAGAUCCCCCACACUGGUACUGAGACACGGACCAGACUCCUACGGGAGGCAGCAGUGAGGAAUAUUGGACAAUGGGUGAAAGCCUGAUCCAGCCAUCCCGCGUGAAGGAGGACGGUCCUAUGGAUUGUAAACUUCUUUUGUACAGGGAUAAACCUACUCUCGUGAGGGUAGCUGAAGGUACUGUACGAAUAAGCACCGGCUAACUCCGUG
rnacentral:rRNA from 1 species